AAUGUAGGCGGUUUUGCAAGUCAGGGGUGAAAUCCCUCAGCUUAACUGAGGAAGUGCCUUUGAAACUGCAUAACUAGAGGACAGGAGAGGAAAGUGGAAUUCCCGGUGUAGCGGUGGAAUGCGUAGAUAUCGGGAGGAACACCAGAGGCGAAGGCGGCUUUCUGGACUGAUCCUGACGCUGAGAUUCGAAAGCUAGGGGAGCAAACA
rnacentral:rRNA from 1 species